rnacentral:rRNA from 1 species
CAAAUCAGGUAGGAUUACCCGCUGAACUUAAGCAUAUCAAUAAGCGGAGGAAAAGAAACUAACAAGGAUUCCCCUAGUAACUGCGAGUGAAGCGGGAAAAGCUCAAAUUUGUAAUCUGGCGGUCUUGGGCCGUCCGAAUUGUAAACUAGAGAAGCGUUAUCCGCGCUGGACCGUGUACAAGUCCCCUGGAAUGGGGCGUCAUAGAGGGUGAGAAUCCCGUCUUUGACACGGACUACCAGGGCUUUGUGAUGCGCUCUCAAAGAGUCGAGUUGUUUGGGAAUGCAGCUCAAAAUGGGUGGUAAAUUCCAUCUAAAGCUAAAUAUUGCCGAGAGACCGAUAGCGAACAAGUACCGUGAGGGAAAGAUGAAAAGAACUUUGGAAAGAGAGUUAAACAGUACGUGAAAUUGCUGAAAGGGAAACGCUUGAAGUCAGUCGCGUUGGCUAGGGAUCAGCCUUACUCUGGUGGGGUGUACUUCCUUGUCGACGGGUCAGCAUCAGUUUUGGUUGCUGGAUAAAGGCUAGGGGAAUGUGGCACCUUCGGGUGUGUUAUAACCCUUGGUCAGAUACAGUGGCUGGGACUGAGGAACUCAGCACGCGCAAGCUGUGCUUAG